rnacentral:rRNA from 1 species
AUUGAACGCUGGCGGCAUGCUUUACACAUGCAAGUCGAACGGUAACAGCACUUCGGUGGCUGACGAGUGGCGAACGGGUGAGUAAUACAUCGGAACGUGCCUAGUAGUGGGGGAUAACUACUCGAAAGAGUAGCUAAUACCGCAUGAGAUCUAAGGAUGAAAGCAGGGGACCUUCGGGCCUUGCGCUACUAGAGCGGCUGAUGGCAGAUUAGGUAGUUGGUGGGAUAAAAGCUUACCAAGCCGACGAUCUGUAGCUGGUCUGAGAGGACGACCAGCCACACUGGGACUGAGACACGGCCCAGACUCCUGCGGGAGGCAGCAGUGGGGAAUGUUGGACAAUGGGCGCAAGCCUGAUCCAGCAAUGCCGCGUGCAGGAUGAAGGCCUUCGGGUUGUAAACUGCUUUUGUACGGAACGAAAAGCCCUCUUCUAAUACAGGAGGGUCAUGACGGUACCGGAAGAAGAAGCACCGGCUAACUACGUG